ensembl:lncRNA
AUAAUCUUUUCAAUCCAGUAUAUAAGCCAAUACCUGAAGACAAAUUUUUUUUUUUUUUUUUUUCUUUUACAGGAACCAAAAUGCUUUGAUAAAGGCCAAUAGACUUAAACCCAAAAUCUUCCCUUAUAGCUAGCUGCCACAGACAUAAAUACUAUAUCAACUAUGAAUAAGAAUUAACACUUUAACCCUUUCCUAUUACCACACUAAUUUCUUAUUGCACAAUAACACUCGUCCUUUAAAUGUCCAUUAAGAUGUGUAAUUAUUUUAACAAUGAGUCAAUGUGCUGUUAUAUUUGCAUUAUUUUUUUAUGGGAUACACUCCCCUUCAAAAUUAGACAUUUCUACCAAGACCUGUAAUAAACUCAUCCCCCUUCUUUUCCACUUUAACAGCUUAUGGCAAUGACAGCAUCUGUGAACCACAUCUUCAUUGAAGGUCGCGUGGGGGUGCUGGAGCCUAUCCCAGCGGUAAUCAGGCAGAAGGCAGGAUGCACCCUGGACAGCUUCAAGCAACAGCUUGAACUGUUGCACUCACAGAUUCUGAUGAUAGUUCUUCACUACAUUCUCUCAUAACAUCCUCAAUGUCUGUUGGCAUCUGGGAUAGUGAGUAAGCAUCAACACUUUGAAAGUGAUCUCAACACACCUUGUGUAUAGCAACUUGGAUCCAUUAGCUGUUACUUUUAGUGCAUUAGGUGCUUCUACUGCCUCAGUCAUAUCUCUUAUAACUGCUUUGGAGAUGUAUCUACUUUUCCAGUCUUCAUCAAAGACUUGAGAGCCUGUGUCCCACAAAGCCUCACUUUCUUACCCUUGUAAGAAACAUUCCACAAGGCACUGUCUACCUACCAGUGAAGUUACAGAGGAAUGCCAGUUGACACGACAUUGUGCCACUUGAAUAUCAGCAGGUGGAUAGGGCUGGGCAUGUGAUAUCUCUCUACACUACUUGCGAUGCUUAUCCUAAUGUUCUACCUGUCAUUUUUGAGUAAUAAUACACCACUUUGUAUUUGGAGCACCUGGCAUUUGCUCUUUCCGUACCACAGCUAGCACACUGGUGGGACACAACAGGAUCAGUUACUCCUUGUCCCGUCGAAGCAACCGGUUUCCAUUUAACGGUGCCUCUCUUCCCCUUGGCUCUACACCCUGCCAGGAAAUGUUCACUGCUUCCACAGUAAUAACAAUGAAAACAUG